rnacentral:rRNA from 1 species
CGAAAGCCUGACGGAGCAACGCCGCGUGAGGGAGGAAGGCCUUAGGGUUGUAAACCUCUUUUCUCUGGGAAGAAUAACUGACGGUACCAGAGGAAUAAGCCUCGGCUAACUCCGUGCCAGCAGCCGCGGUAAGACGGAGGAGGCAAGCGUUAUCCGGAAUUAUUGGGCGUAAAGCGUCCGUAGGUGGUCAAACAAGUCAGCUGUUAAAGUGCGGAGCUUAACUCCGUAAAGGCGGUUGAAACUGAUUGACUAGAGUGCGGUAGGGGUUACGGGAAUUCCCAGUGUAGCGGUGAAAUGCGUAGAUAUUGGGAAGAACACCGGUGGCGAAGGCGCGUAACUGGGCCUGCACUGACACUGAGGGACGAAAGCUAGGGGAGCG